rnacentral:rRNA from 1 species
GGGAACGUCAGGUGUGGCGGACGGGUGAGUAACACGUGAGGAUCUGCCCAUAGGACGGGGAUAACAGUGGGAAACUGCUGCUAAUACCGGAUGAGCCGAGAGGUAAAACAUUUAUGGCCUAUGGAGGAGCUCGCGGCUGAUUAGCUAGUUGGUGGGGUAAGGGCCUACCAAGGCAUUGAUCAGUAGCUGGUCUGAGAGGAUGAUCAGCCACACUGGGACUGAGACACGGCCCAGACUCCUACGGGAGGCAGCAGUGGGGAAUUUUCCGCAAUGGGGGCAACCCUGACGGAGCAACGCCGCGUGAGGGAAGAAUGGUUGUGGCCAGUAAACCUCUUUUAAUAGGGAAGAAUUCUGACGGUACCUAUUGAAUAAGCAUCGGCUAACUCCGUGCCAGCAGCCGCGGUAAUACGGAGGAUGCAAGCGUUAUCCGGAAUUAUUGGGCGUAAAGGGUCCGCAGGUGGUUAGUCAAGUCAGCUGUAAAAUACUCAGGCUCAACUUGGGAUGUGCAGUUGAAACUGAUUGACUAGAGUACGGAAGGGGUAGAGGGAAUUCCUAGUGUAGCGGUGAAAUGCGUAGAUAUUAGGAAGAACACCAGUGGCGAAGGCGCUCUACUGGACCUGUACUGACACUGAGGGACGAAAGCUAGGGGAGCGAAAGGGAUUAGAUACCCCUGUAGUCCUAGCUGUAAACGAUGGAUACUAGGUGUUGGACGUAUCGACCCGUUCAGUAUCGUAGCUAACGCGUUAAGUAUCCCGCCUGGGGAGUACGCACGCAAGUGUGAAACUCAAAGGAAUUGACGGGGGCCCGCACAAGCGGUGGAGUAUGUGGUUUAAUUCGAUGCAACGCGAAGAACCUUACCAGGGUUUGACAUCCUACGAACUUCUCAGAGAUGAGUUGGUGCCUUCGGGAACGUAGAGACAGGUGGUGCAUGGGCUGUCGUCAGCUCGUGUCGUGAGAUGUUGGGUUAAGUCCCGCAACGAGCGCA